CACGGGGGGAGCAAGCGUUGUUCGGAAUCACUGGGCGUAAGGGGCGUGUAGGCGGUCAUGUAAGUGGGAUGUGAAAGCCCUCGGCUCACCCGAGGAUCUGCAUCUCAAACUGCAUGGCUUGAGUAUGGGAGAGGAUGAGGGAAUUCCCGGUGUAGCGGUGAAAUGCGCAGAUAUCAGGAAGAACACCCGUGGCGAAAGCGGCUCUCUGGAACGGUACUGGACGCUGAGGCGCGAAAGCGUGGGGAGCAACAGG
rnacentral:rRNA from 1 species